rnacentral:rRNA from 1 species
GGAAUCUUAUAUACCAGCACUAAUGCAUCAGAUCCCAUCAGAACUCCGCAGUUAAACUUGCUUGGGCAAGAUUAGUAGAUGGGCAACUUUUUAGGAAGUCUUCAAUCGUAUUGCA